AUUGAACGCUGGCGGCAGGCCUAACACAUGCAAGUCGAACGGUAACAGGAAACAGCUUGCUGUUUCGCUGACGAGUGGCGGACGGGUGAGUAAUGUCUGGGAAACUGCCUGAUGGAGGGGGAUAACUACUGGGAACGGUAGCUAAUACCGCAUAACGUCGCAAGACCAAAGAGGGGGACCUUCGGGCCUCUUGCCAUCGGAUGUGCCCAGAUGGGAUUAGCUAGUAGGUGGGGUAACGGCUCACCUAGGCGACGAUCCCUAGCUGGUCUGAGAGGAUGACCAGCCACACUGGAACUGAGACACGGUACAGACUCCUACGGGAGGCAGCGGUGGGGAAUAUUGCACAAUGGGCGCAAGCCUGAUUCAGCCAUGCCGCGUGUAUGAAGAAGGCCUUCGGGUUGUAAAGUACUUUCAGCGAGGAGGAAGGCGUUGUGGUUAAUAACCGCAGCGAUUGACGUUACUCGCAGAAGAAGCACCGGCUAACUCCGUGCCAGCCGCCGCGGUAA
rnacentral:rRNA from 1 species